AAGUUGUAUUCCUUAAACGAAAAUUAUACUAUUUAAGCAAAAAUUAAACUAUUUCUCCUUCUUCCCAUUGUCCUCUUUUUGACCAAAUAGUGCAAUUUUCGUUCAAAGAGUACAACUUUCGUUCAAAUUGUGCAAUUUUUAUCCAAAAAAGUAUAUUUUUUCUCUCAAAUAGUGUAAAUUUUCUCAAAAACAAUGCAAUGUUUUCCAUAAAUAGUGCAACAUUUUUCUCAAAUAAUGCAAAUUUAUCAUCUUUUUCUUUUCUCUUUGGUUCUUCAUUUUUUAUUUUCUGCAUAAGUUUUUCCGACUCC
rnacentral:lncRNA from 1 species